rnacentral:rRNA from 1 species
GCCUGCCCAGUGACCAAGUUUAACGGCCGCGGUAUCCUAACCGUGCGAAGGUAGCGUAAUCACUUGUUCUUUAAAUGAGGACUAGUAUGAAUGGCACCACGAAGGCUAUACUGUCUCCUUUUUCUAAUCAAUGAAACUGAUCUCCCCGUGAAGAAGCGGGGAUAAAAAUAUAAGACGAGAAGACCCUAUGGAGCUUAAAACUAAAUAGCAUCAGCUUAUAUAAACACCUUUAAAAUUAAUAAUAAUUCCAGCUAUAUUGACUAUUAGUUUUAGGUUGGGGUGACCAUGGAGUAUAAUUUAACCUCCAUACUGAAAGGACCUACUCCUGAGCAAAAAGCCACGACUUUAAGCACCAACAAAUUGACAUUAAUUGACCCAUUAUUUUGAUCAAUGAACCAAGUUACCCUAGGGAUAACAGCGCAAUCUACUUCAAGAGCCCCUAUCGACAAGUAGGUUUACGACCUCGAUGUUGGAUCAGGGUAUCCUAGUGGUGCAGCCGCUACUAAAGGUUCGUUUGUUCAACGAUUAAAACCCUACGUGAUCU